rnacentral:rRNA from 1 species
GACGAACCGUCCAAACGUUAUUCGGUAUCACUGGGCUUAAAGCGUGCGUAGGCGGUCUGGUAGGUGGGGUGUGAAAUCCCUCGGCUCAACCGAGGAACUGCGCUCCAAACCCCCAGACUUGAGGAAGACAGGGGUGAGUGGAACUGUUGGUGGAGCGGUGAAAUGCGUUGAUAUCAACAGGAACACCGGUGGCGAAAGCGACUCACUGGGUCUUUUCUGACGCUGAGGCACGAAAGCUAGGGGAGCGAACGGGAUUAGAAACCCCCGUAGUCC